AUCCGACUCUAAUCUAUACCUAUACAUUAUUCCCCCAAAAAAAAGCCACGAGGCGGAAUUUCCUUCCUUUAGCGAAACCAACUUUUCGGCUUCCCUUCACCUAUAACAUUUAAUUAAUAGUCCACUAAGCUUAACCUAACCCUUCGCCUUUCCUAUACACAUAACGCCGGCUUCCCUCCGCCUAUAAUAUCUAAUUCUUCCCUCCACCUAUAACAUCUAAUUAAUAGCCCACUCAUCUUAAUCCAACCCUUCGUCUUUCCUACAAACAUAACGUUUAAUUAAUAGUCCACUCACCUUAAUCCAACCCUUCACCUUUCCUACAAACAUAACGUCUAAUUAAUGGUUCACCUACUUUAAUCCUAAUCUAAACAGUAAAUUGUAGAAACCUACGAAAAGCCCAAUUCUCUUCUUCUCUAUUAUCUUUUCCUCCUCCAUGAGCUCCGAGGCUAAGAUCAAGCACGUUAUGUAGAUGGAGUAUAAAUUUGCACGCUGCAUCGUCGAGCUUAGCGUUACCAUCUUCAUCAAAUCGAGCUUUCCUUCAAAUUUCAGGAGUUAUUUUAAAAGAUUAAUGUAUUCUUUAUGUUGUAUCGUUGAAAUUUCUUAGAUAGUUUUAUUCAGUUUUUUAAAGUUUUUUUUAUUUGCAUGGUAUUCAAACUAAUGUGUUUGUUAUGUUGA
rnacentral:lncRNA from 1 species